rnacentral:ncRNA from 1 species
AGGAGCGUAGUGCCGUGAAAGUGGCACGCUACGUUUUGCAUGGGAGGCUAGAGAAGUGAUUCUUUGGUCGACCCCUAAC